UAAGGUGAUAUGAACCGUUAUAACCGGCGAUUUCCGAAUGGGGAAACCCAGUGUGACUCGUCACACUAUCAUUAACUGAAUCCAUAGGUUAAUGAGGCGAACCGGGGGAACUGAAACAUCUAAGUACCCCGAGGAAAAGAAAUCAACCGAGAUUCCCCCAGUAGCGGCGAGCGAACGGGGAGGAGCCCAGAGCCUGAAUCAGCAUGUGUGUUAGUGGAAGCGUCUGGAAAGGCGCGCGAUACAGGGUGACAGCCCCGUACACAAAAGCGCAUGUGCUGUGAGCUCGAUGAGUAGGGCGGGACACGUGGUAUCCUGUCUGAAUAUGGGGGGACCAUCCUCCAAGGCUAAAUACUCCUGACUGACCGAUAGUGAACCAGUACCGUGAGGGAAAGGCGAAAAGAACCCCGGCGAGGGGAGUGAAAAAGAACCUGAAACCGUGUACGUACAAGCAGUGGGAGCACAGGUUUACCUGUGUGACUGCGUACCUUUUGUAU
rnacentral:rRNA from 1 species